CAGAGUAUAGUUUAAUUGGUAAAAUAUCUGCUUUGGGUGUAGUUGAUGUUAGUUCAAAUCUGGCUACUCUGA
rnacentral:tRNA from 1 species